UUCCGGUUGAUCCUGCCGGACCUGACUGCUAUCGGAUUGAUACUAAGCCAUGCGAGUCAUUGUAGCAAUACAAGGCAGACGGCUCAGUAACGCGUAGUCAACCUAACCUAUGGACGGGAAUAACCUCGGGAAACUGAGAAUAAUGCCCGAUAGAACACUAUACCUGGAAUGGUUUGUGUUCCAAAUGAUUUAUCGCCGUAGGAUGGGACUGCGGCCUAUCAGUUUGUUGGUGAGGUAAUGGCCCACCAAGACUAUUACAGGUACGGGCUCUGAGAGGAGUAGCCCGGAGAUGGGUACUGAGACACGGACCCAGGCCCUAUGGGGCGCAGCAGGCGAGAAAACUUUGCAAUGUGCGAAAAGCACGACAAGGUUAAUCCGAGUGAUUUGUGCUAAACGAAUCUUUUGUUAGUCCUAGAACCACUACCGAAUAAGGGGUGGGCAAGUUCUGGUGUCAGCCGCC
rnacentral:rRNA from 1 species